ensembl:lncRNA
CAGGCAAGCAUAAAUAAGACAAAAUCUUGUGUAAAUUUUAAGAUACAUUUUUUAUCCUAUUGUGUUCACAAAUAUGUUUUCAGUCAUGCUAGCGGCUCUUGUGAUGUUAUGCCAGUUCUGACAUAAUUUCACAAAUACCUCAACAAAACUAGGUCAACAAUUUGAAACACCUUUAUGUCUCUGCCCUCUUUCUGUUUUCAGUCAUAUUCUGCUUUUCCUUCUCCUAAUUUUUCUAAACAUGUUUAUUUCUCAAGAAUGACAAACUUGGCAGAAAAUAGUGUAGCAAGGCCUGUUUGAAUACACAAACAUAGCGCACAAUAAUGCAAAGGAUUUUUUUUUGCUUUUUUGUGCUUAUGCAACCAAAAACAAUGCUUCCAAUGCCUCAGCUUUAAUAAUUGGCAGUUUGUUGUGGGACCAUAAUGCUAAUAGGUGGUGAAACGAGGGCUUUGUACUGUAAAAGCUGGCAGAAGCUGUGUGGCCUGGAUCACGUAAUGGCUGCUGUGUGUGUUAAACUGUACUACAAACCAAUAAAACUACACCACAGAACAUUAGUUUGUACCCCAACGGGAGACUUACUGAAGUGUUGUUUCCUACUGCAGGAUUUUUCAAACUCAGUCAAUCAAUGAAGUGAAUUCAACCUUCUCUGAGACGUCUGUUUUUCAGUGUGUUCGCCAGACGCCUGUGUGAAACUGGGUUUGGGAUUUGCGGGAUUAGUGGCAUGGUGGACAGCCGGGUUUGGCAUAGCUAACAGGGUGGUGACUGCAGCGCUAAAAGAGCUAAUUUCAGCACAUGGCAUCUGGGUGGGAAAGCUAACUUAACGAGCGUCUCCCUCCCCUGAAGAAUAAGUGUCAAACCGCUCCUGACCAAGACGCCUCAGCGUCCGGCAGUGACCGGCAGUAGUACGUUACGUGUGUAGCAUCUCAAUGCUGAGAAACGGUGUGUCUAGUGAAGGUUCACUAGAUGCACGAAUGAAACAUUGUCUUUAAAUUCAUAUUGACAGCGUUUGGGGAGGCAGAGAAUAUCAG